CCCGGUAAUUAUAGCGAGGAUGUCACACCCGUUCCCAUCCCGAACACGGUCGUUAAGCUCCUCAGCGGCGAUGGUACUAUCCUGUUAUGGGAUGGGAGAGUAGCACGUUGCCGGGU
rnacentral:rRNA from 1 species